CACGUAGGCGGCGCGGCCAGUCAGAGGUGAAAGCCCCGGGCUCAACCUGGGAAUUGCCUUUGAUACUGCCGUGCUAGAGUCCAUCAGAGGGUGGCGGAAUACCCAGUGUAGAGGUGAAAUUCGUAGAUAUUGGGUAGAACACCAGUGGCGAAGGCGGCCACCUGGGAUGGUACUGACGCUGAGGUGCGAAAGCGUGGGGAGCAAACA
rnacentral:rRNA from 1 species